rnacentral:tRNA from 1 species
GCCGGAGUGAUGAAAUUGGUAACCAUGCGCGACUCAAAAUCGCGUGCCGCAAGGCUUGGGAGUUCGACUCUCCCCUCCGGCA